ensembl:lncRNA
AGAGUCUACAGGGGUUUAAUUGAAUAAUUUACAUUAGUAAAGCUCAGUUUGAUCAGUUAAGAUAAAAACAUUUUUAGUUACAGAUUUUAUUGUUGUGUGAGAGAGUGCAUGGAUAAACUGAUGUGAACAUCUGCUUAUGCUCUUAGUGUAUAAGAAGCAAUUCAAGACUCCUUGAAAAUUAGCAGCAGCAACCUACUGGAUGAUUAAAAUAUCUAUGGCAGGAGGAAAAUACUAAAGUUCUCAGCGUCUCGUGUGCUUCUUCUUCUUUCUCUUCACACAAAGUCGUAGAAGUUUUCAGACGUGUCACAGCUGGAUGUGAGGAUGGGACCCACUUUCCUCUGUGAGCUGGGCCUAUUCUUUCUCUGUACGCUCCUCUGCAGCG